UACAGAGGGUGCUAGCGUUGUUCGGAAUUACUGGGCGUAAAGCGCGUGUAGGCGGAUAGAGAAGUUGGGUGUGAAAUCCCUGGGCUUAACCCAGGAAUUGCGCCCAAAACCAUCUGUCUGGAAUAUGUCAGGGGAGCGGGGAAUUCCCGGUGUAGAGGUGAAAUUCGUAGAUAUCGGGAGGAACACCAGUGGCGAAGGCGCCGCUCUGGGGCAUUAUUGACGCUGAGACGCGAAAGCUUGGGGAGCAAACAGG
rnacentral:rRNA from 1 species